CCCCCCCCGCCCCAAAUCAAGUCUUGCAACAACCUGUUUUCUUGAAAGCCAAGGUGUCCAGAGGGCCAGCAUGUUGGGGUUAUUUCAGUGUUGGACUUUGAAGACCUGGACUCAAAUUCCCACUCAGGUGUGGAGACCUACUGGGUGGCUUUGGGCAAGUCACAAACUCUCAGCCUCAGAAAAAGGCCAAUCCCUCUAAACAGUACCUUAGGGUCAUCAUAAGUCAAAAACAACUUGAAAGCACACAGGAACAAUUUUCCUUUGCUAGAAGCAGUGCAGGAGAGGUUUGGGAUACAGAAGGAGGAGAGUAUGUGUAGAAUAAAGUUCUAGAGUUUUGGAAUAGUCAUAUGUAAUAUGGUUACCUAUAUUCUAUUUUUGAGAGCAAUAGUGCAACUAUUAAAAAGUAAUGUGAUUAUUAAGAUACGGUGUAUCGUUUAAAGCAAAUUUUCUUUAAUUUCAAAAGUUAUUUUAAAAUCUAUGUUUGAUUUUUUUCAGCUUGUAUGCCUUUCUCUUUAUCAGUCUACCUCUCCGUGUAGAAAGUAACAGAGUAACAAGUUGUGUGAGAAAAACAAUAACCAUUUCCUUCAUUGUAGUAGUAAGGAUUUAUAUGCUAUACUACUUUAUUUUCAGUCUAUAAAAUUUUAAAUUUUUAUCUCUAUUCACUCCACCAAAGCAAUGUUAGGAUGGCAAAUGUACCAUAUUUCACUGAAUAACGUGCCAUUGAGCGUAAGGUGCAUCCCAUUUUUGAAGGAUGGGGGGGGGGAUUUUAUUUGAAUCUUUGUUUAGAAUUUUGUCUGCAGGCAAAAUUUUGUUUAGAAUUUUGUAUUACAACCUGGAAGUCAUCUUGUCUGCAUUACCAUUUUUUUUCCUAAGUUGGGGAGGCAGGGGAAGCAGGAAGUGGUGCUCAGCCAGAUCAGUAAACUGCCUGGUAGAGGCCAAGGACAAAAUGGUAGGGCUGGCAUAGACACUGUGUGUCCCUUCCUCCUUCUCUCUCAGAAGUUUUUUAAACACAUUAUAUAAUAAAGCAAAACCAGAAAAUUUAAGGUGCUAUUGAUUGUUUGCCCAUGUCACUUUUGGAGCGCUUAAAAUUGGGGGGCGGGGGGGGGGGGAAGUGUGCCACAAAAUCAGUGUAAUACAAUAUUUGAGUAGAAAAUAAAAUAUUGUUAUACAAGCCA